GACGAACGCUGGCGGCGUGCCUAAUACAUGCAAGUCGAACGAACCGCGACUAGGUGCUUGCACUUGGUCAAGGUGAGUGGCGAACGGGUGAGUAACACGUGGGUAACCUACCUCAUAGUGGGGGAUAACAGUCGGAAACGACUGCUAAUACCGCAUAGGACAUAGGUUCACAUGAUUCUGUGAGGAAAGGUGGCGCAAGCUAUCGCUAAGAGAUGGACCCGCGGUGCAUUAGCUAGUUGGUAGGGUAAAGGCCUACCAAGGCGAUGAUGCAUAGCCGACCUGAGAGGGUGAUCGGCCACAUUGGGACUGAGACACCGCCCAAACUCCUACGGGAGGCAGCAGUAGGGAAUCUUCCGCAAUGGACGCAAGUCUGACGGAGCAACGCCGCGUGAGUGAAGAAGGUCUUGGGAUCGUAAAGCUCUGUUGUUAGAGAAGAACAGCGCAUAGAGUAACUGUUAUGCGUGUGACGGUAACUAAUCAGAAAGCCACGGCUAACUACGUG
rnacentral:rRNA from 1 species